rnacentral:rRNA from 1 species
CGAUCCGUAACUUGUCUGAGAGGAUGAUCAGUCACACUGGAAAUGAGACACGUGUCCAGACUCCUACCGGGAGCAGCAGUGGGGAAUAUUGGACAAUGGGCGAAAGCCUGAUCCAAGCCAUGCCGCGUGUGUGAAGAAGGUCUUCGGAUUGUAAAGCACUUUAAGUUGGGAGGAAGGGUUGUAGAUUAAUACUCUGCAAUUUUGACGUUACCGACAGAAUAAGCACCGGCUAACUCUGUGCCAGCAGCCGCGGUAAUACAGAGGGUGCAAGCGUUAAUCGGAAUUACUGGGCGUAAAGCGCGCGUAGGUGGUUUGUUAAGUUGGAUGUGAAAUCCCCGGGCUCAACCUGGGAACUGCAUUCAAAACUGACUGACUAGAGUAUGGUAGAGGGUGGGUGGAAUUUCCUGUGUAGCGGUGAAAUGCGUAGAUAUAGGAAGGAACACCAGUGGCGAAGGCGACCACCUGGACUAAUACUGACACUGAGGUGCGAAAGCGUGGGGAGCAAACAGGAUUAGAUACCCUGGUAGUCCACGCCGUAAACGAUGUCAACUAGCCGUUGGAAGCCUUGAGCUUUUAGUGGCGCAGCUAACGCAUUAAGUUGACCGCCUGGGGGAGUACGGCCGCAAGGUUAAAACUCAAAUGAAAUUGACGGGGGCCCGCACAAGCGGUGGAGCCAUGGGGUUUAAUUCGAAGCAACGCGAAGAACCUUACCAGGCCUUGACAUCCAAUGAACUUUCUAGAAGAUUAGAUUGGUGGCCUUCGGGAACAUUGAGACAGGUGCUGCAUGGCUGUCGUCACUCUGUCGUGGAGAAGUUGGGGUUAAUCCCCGUAACAGCGCCACCCUUGUCCUUAGUUACCACCGUAAUGGUGGGCUCCUAAGAGAACUGCCGGGACAACCGAGGAAGAGGGGGGGAGUCAUGG